AAAUAUGUUUGGCGUACAAAUUAACUUCUCGCGAAGUAGUUUGCUUUAAAGAACAAAUUAUGUAAAUUAUUGUCCUUGCACAAGGUAAGUUCUUUCCGGUUGGCAUGUUGUAAUUUUCCCAAGCAAAGCGCCACAGAGACUUUAGAAAAUCUUCUCCCUAUCACCUCCACAGAUUUAGCAAAGAGCCAUGCGUUUAGAAAAGAGGAAAUUAGCAAGCAGCUUUUCGUUUUGUGCAUUGCCAGUAAUAGAUGGAGACUGUCAGCAAAACUGAUUUUAUAGCAAGAGUUAUAAACCGUUGCCUUUUCAAGAUAAUGCCAA
rnacentral:misc_RNA from 1 species